rnacentral:rRNA from 1 species
GACGAACGCUGGCGGCGUGCUUAACACAUGCAAGUCGAGCGAUGAAGUUCCUUCGGGAACGGAUUAGCGGCGGACGGGUGAGUAACACGUGGGUAACCUGCCUCAUAGAGGGGAAUAGCCUUCCGAAAGGAAGAUUAAUACCGCAUAAGAUUGUAGUUUUGCAUGAAACAGCAAUUAAAGGAGUAAUCCGCUAUGAGAUGGACCCGCGUCGCAUUAGCUAGUUGGUGAGGUAAUGGCUCACCAAGGCGACGAUGCGUAGCCGACCUGAGAGGGUGAUCGGCCACAUUGGGACUGAGAAACGGCCCAGACUCCUACGGGAGGCAGCAGUGGGGAAUAUUGCACAAUGGGGGAAACCCUGAUGCAGCAACGCCGCGUGAGUGAUGACGGUCUUCGGAUUGUAAAACUUUGUCUUCAGGGACGAUAAUGACGGUACCUGAGGAGGAAGCCACGGCUAACUACGUGCCAGCAGCCGCGGUAACAC